UCGUCAGCUCGUGUCGUGAGAUGUUGGGUUAAGUCCCGCAACGAGCGCAACCCCUAUUGUUAGUUGCUAUCAUUAAGUUGAGCACUCUAGCGAGACUGCCUGGGUUAACCAGGAGGAAGGUGGGGAUGACGUCAAAUCAUCAUGCCCCUUAUGUGUAGGGCUACACACGUGCUACAAUGGCAAGUACAGAGAGACGCAAAACCGUGAGGUCGAGCAAAUCCCUUAAAACUUGUCCCAGUUCGGAUUGUAGGCUGAAACUCGCCUACAUGAAGCCGGAGUUGCUAGUAAUCGCGAAUCAGAAUGUCGCGGUGAAUACGUUCCCGGGUCUUGUACACACCGCCCGUCACACCAUGAGAGUUGGCAAUACCCAACGUCCGUGAGCUAACCGCAAGGAGGCAGCGGCCUAAGGUAGGGUCAGCGAUUGGGGUGAAGUCGUAACAAGGUAACCGUA
rnacentral:rRNA from 1 species